rnacentral:misc_RNA from 1 species
AAUUCUCAACCCAUUAAAUUUUUUUAAUGAAUUGGACUUGAGGGUUAUUUGUCGGCUCUGUUCGACUCCCUUUAAAUGCAUAAGUGGCUCGACUCCCAUUUAAACUGGUGUGAUAGUUGUAUCUACAUCAUAACAAUGGCAAAUGUAGCUGCUAUCUAAUCGUCGAAAGACAAUUUGAACC